CACGCCGUAAACUAAUGCUCGCUAGGUGUCAGGCAUGGCGCGACUGUGUCUGGUGCCGCAGGGAAGCCGUGAAGCGAGCCACCUGGGAAGUACGGCCGCAAGGCUGAAACUUAAAGGAAUUGGCGGGGGAGCACAACAACGGGUGGAGCCUGCGGUUUAAUUUGGACUCAACGCCGGACAACUCACCGGGGACGACAGCAAUAUGUAGGCCAGGCUGAAGACCUUGCCUGAAAUCGCUGAGAGGAGGUGCAUGGCGUAGACGUCU
rnacentral:rRNA from 1 species